GUGGAUGUAGCUCAGCUGGUAGAGUCCCGGAUUGUGGCGCGGGUUCGAGUCCCGUCAUCCACC
rnacentral:tRNA from 1 species